UACGUAGGGGGCAAGCGUUGUCCGGAAUCAUUGGGCGUAAAGCGCGUGUAGGCGGCUCGGUAAGUCUGCUGUGAAAGUCCAGGGCUCAACCCUGGAAAGCCGGUGGAUACUGUCGGGCUAGAGUCCGGAAGAGGCGAGUGGAAUUCCUGGUGUAGCGGUGGAAUGCGCAGAUAUCAGGAGGAACACCGAUAGCGAAGGCAGCUCGCUGGGACGGUACUGACGCUGAGGCGCGAAAGCGUGGGGAGCGAACAGG
rnacentral:rRNA from 1 species